GGAAUCUUCCACAAUGGGCGCAAGCCUGAUGGAGCAACACCGCGUGAGUGAAGAAGGGUUUCGGCUCGUAAAGCUCUGUUGUUAGAGAAGAACGUGCGUGAGAGUAACUGUUCACGCAGUGACGGUAUCUAACCAGAAAGUCACGGCUAACUACGUGCCAGCAGCCGCGGUAAUACGGAGGAUGCAAGCGUUAUCCGGAUUUAUUGGGUUUAAAGGGUGCGUAGGCGGAUGAUUAAGCGUGAGGUGAAAGCUCGGGGCUCAACCCCGGAACUGCCUCGCGAACUGGUUGUCUUGAAUGUCCGUGACGUGGGAGGAAUGUGUGGUGUAGCGGUGAAAUGCAUAGAGAUCACACAGAACACCGAUUGCGAAGGCAUCUCACGAACGGAUGAUUGACGCUGAGGCACGAAAGCGUGGGGAUCAAACA
rnacentral:rRNA from 1 species